CGGCCGCGUCGACGUGAAAUUGUAGUAUCGGUGAAGAUGCCGAUUACCCGCGAUGGGACGAAAAGACCCCGUGAACCUUUACUACAGCUUAGCAUUGACCUUGGUCAUCCGAUGUGUAGGAUAGGCCGGAGGCUUCGAAGCGGGUGCGCCAGCAUUCGUGGAGCCAUCCUUAGAAAUACCGGUCCCUUUGGCUGUCUGAGGUCUAACGCGCCUGAGGUGCGGACACUGCGUUGGUGGGUUAGUUUGACGUGGGGUGGUCGCCUCCAAAAGCGUAACGGAGGCUUCCAAAGGUGCCCUCGGGCCGAUUGGUAACCGGCCUUAUAGAGUGCAAUGGCAUAAGGGCGCUUGACUGGGAGGCAGACAUGCCGAGCAGGCAG
rnacentral:rRNA from 1 species